GGGGAAUAUUGGGCAAUGGGCGAAAGCCUGACCCAGCGACGCCGCGUGAAGGAUGAAGGUCUUCGGAUUGUAAACUUCUUUGAUCAGGGAAGAAAGAAAUGACGGUACCUGAAAAACAAGCCACGGCUAACUACGUGCCAGCAGCCGCGGUAAUACGUAGGUGGCAAGCGUUGUCCGGAUUUACUGGGUGUAAAGGACGUGUAGGCGGGGAUGCAAGUCAGAUGUGAAAUCCCGUGGCUCAACCACGGAACUGCAUCUGAAACUGUAUCUCUUGAGUGUCGGAAGGGAAAGUGGAAUUCCUAGUGUAGCGGUGAAAUGCGUAGAUAUUAGGAGGAACACCGGUGGCGAAGGCGACUUUCUGGACGAUAACUGACGCUGAGACGCGAAAGCGUGGGGAGCAAAC
rnacentral:rRNA from 1 species